rnacentral:tRNA from 1 species
AAUAUAGUGCCUGAAAAAAGGAUAGCCCCGAUACAGCUAAUAAUGUGGACCCCCACCUAUAUUA